rfam:Postia placenta Mad-698-R POSPLscaffold_11_Cont928, whole genome shotgun sequence.
UCGGAUAUGGUGUAGUGGCUAACAUUAUCGCCUCUCACCUGUUUGAUCGCGAUAGCCCGGGGUUCAAUUCCCCGUAUCCGAA